ACCUGGGCCUAAAUGGCUGUGCAUUUCAUAAAGCCCUCCUAGCACCAGAAAGAUGACUUCCUGCUGUCCAGGUGCCUCUGUGUAUCUAUUUAAGAGGCAGCAUGGAGGCCAGAGAGCAAGCAAAGAGUCAGGGUGAGAGAGAGAACUGGCCCGUGUGUGUUCUCGUGUGAGUGGGCAGAUCUGAUUGACAAGAUCUGGGAACACAGCUCCUGGAUUCAAUCAGUCUCUGCUCCCUGGCAAACAGUUCUGAGAGGCAAUUAAGUGAGAUUGGAAGGGGCACUGGGGAGGGAGGCGAGGGGCGGGUGCUAGGAGAGGGCUGCAAACAGAUGGGGCCCCUGGCUCUGGCCACAGCCCUUCUCUGCCAUUUCUGGGGCCAGGGGCUAGGAGAGAGAGGGGCAUUGUGACAUCACAUCUGGGACCGACCUGGCUCAGUGCCUUGGGUUCAGGUCAGCUCUAACCCAGCUACAGAGGUUGGACUCAGGAAGCUAUGUGGAAUGCAGUCCUUUCCUGGCACACAGUAGAUGGCCAGCAGAUGGCAGAGGUUCUGGCUCCCCCUGAUGGUGAAACUGAAGUGGAGAUGGGUAGAUGAACUCGCUCCCAAGCAUGCAUCCUAGUUUUAAACUGUUAGUAAGGCACGCUUAGCAACAACCAAUACUCCCCAGAGUUCUUCUAUUAGUCUGCACUGCUUUCUUCACACAAGAAUGGACCAUCUCCACCAGGAAGAUCAGCUGGGAAACUCAUUCCUAUGGAUUCCUCUCCAGGCUUGGACUUAUACUCCUCCAGAGAAGCUUUCAUCUCUAGUUUGGAUCUGGAAUGUUCCCAGGGCCAUCAAGUGAGUGGCUUUGCCAUUACCGUGUGCUUUUGCUAUGAUGUGCUGUCCUACCAGAGCCCCGAACAACAAAUCAUGGCUGAAACCUCUAAUAACACUUUCCUCUUGAUAAGUUGAUUAUCUCAGGUACAUGUCCCAUGGGGAUGAACAGGGACCUCUGCUCUGCUUUGUCACUCAGAGUCCCAGACCCAGGACAGUGGAGACGUCAGCACUGAGUGGCUGCACCACGUGGAACACGUGGCCUUGGUGGCUGCAGCUGGGGAAGAGGGGACUGGAAAAUGGUGUGCGAUCAGGAAAAAUGCAGCCUUAGGCCUGAGGGUCACACACCCUCUCUGUGCACUUCCACAUACCCCUGCCCAACCAGAAGGGGCUGGGAUAAGUACAGGAGCAAGUGGAAUAUUUGCUCUGUCACGGGGCCUCAUGCAAGUUAUUCCCUAGUCUGUUUUCAUGCCUAGCACUUUGCUUGGCACAUUAUAGAGUCCCCCAAACCUGUGGAUUGAAUGAGGGUGCUAUAUACACUGAUCAGGAUCACACAGCCAACACAAGGUGCCAGUCCUUGACUGGCUUUGGAGCAUGAUCCUCAAAUUUCCCAAACCUUUCACUCUUGUACUCUCCCUUGUCAUCUCCCCCAGUUUAUGGAAUGCUUUUUUCUCUGAAUGUAGAGAACAGAAUAUCAUGCAUUUAGCCACUUAAUAGAUUUGUCUUUCCUGAUGAGGCUGAUGAAAGUUGCAUGUCCUCCAAUCAGCCUUGCAAUCAGCCAUUCAGCCACUCACCCAAGACAAGUGGCAGUUCAAAUACAGCUAACAUUUCUUAAGUGCCUACUAUGUGUCAGGUGCGUCCUCCAGCUAGGCCACGCAAAAGCCUAGUGAGGUGGGCUGUGUAUUUCCUGCUUUGCAGAUGGAGACUGACGCUGGGGAGU